CAUCCGGUGAAACCUAUUGCAGUCGGUGAUGUCGUGGUCAUCGUUGAUUCCGAUUUGCCCCGUAACCUGUGGCCGAAGGGGCGAGUGGUUAAGGUCAACGAGCAUGCCGGCCAAGUUCGUAGUGCAACUGUGCGGACUUUGUCAAACGUGUACGAACGACCUGCUGUGAAAUUGGCGGUUCUUGACAUCGGUGCAACAGAGUGUAAGCCAGGAACGGGAUCAGGCUUACCGGGGGGGAGUGUCACGUCACCUACGGACGCACCGCAGUCACGCAUCGAACCCCCACAUCAUUCGCCGUCACUGACAGGCGAGAAACGUCAAGGUGGUAAAGUGCAUGACCAGCAAUAACAGAGUUUGGUGACUAGGCGUUUAAUCAGUAACAAACAAAUAAACAAUUUACAACAAAUUUAUUAAAGUUUAGUUACAAUUACAGUACAAUUUAAACAAAUAACACUGGAUUACACUACACUCGUUUGCAAGGAACACUUCAAAUCAAUUUAUAGCUUCGCGCAGGUAUUGAUUCGUGGCGUAAACCUAAUUCGUCUGCUAAAUUGAGCAGUUUCACAGUUAGUGCCUAAUAAUACUUGAAACAGGUAACAGUAAGUGCUAGCAAUACCGUACGGCACCCGAAUUUCGGACUGAACACAAAUAAUUACUAAAAAGGCAUUAAACGUAAGUUGAAAUUUAAGAUUAUAUUCAAUGAAACACAAUGCACACAUAUAUUAUAAGUAAUCAAAUCCCUAAAUGCAUGAAUUGUCUUUACUACAGGGA